rnacentral:rRNA from 1 species
GAUGAACGCUGGCGGCGUGCCUAAUACAUGCAAGUCGAGCGAACGGACGAGAAGCUUGCUUCUCUGAUGUUAGCGGCGGACGGGUGAGCAACACGUGGAUAACCUACCUAUAAGACUGGGAUAACUUCGGGAAACCGGAGCUAAUACCGGAUAAUAUUUUGAACCGCAUGGUUCAAAAGUGAAAGACGGUCUUGCUGUCACUUAUAGAUGGAUCCGCGCUGCAUUAGCUAGUUGGUAAGGUAACGGCUUACCAAGGCAACGAUGCAUAGCCGACCUGAGAGGGUGAUCGGCCACACUGGAACUGAGACACGGUCCAGACUCCUACGGGAGGCAGCAGUAGGGAAUCUUCCGCAAUGGGCGAAAGCCUGACGGAGCAACGCCGCGUGAGUGAUGAAGGUCUUCGGAUCGUAAAACUCUGUUAUUAGGGAAGAACAUAUGUGUAAGUAACUGUGCGCAUCUUGACGGUACCUAAUCAGAAAGCCACGGCUAACUACGUGCCAGCAGCCGCGGUAAUACGUAGGUGGCAAGCGUUAUCCGGAAUUAUUGGGCGUAAAGCGCGCGUAGGCGGUUUUUUAGUCUGAUGUGAAAGCCCACGGCUCAACCGUGGAGGGUCAUUGGAAACUGGAAAACUUGAGUGCAGAAGAGGAAAGUGGAAUUCCAUGUGUAGCGGUGAAAUGCGCAGAGAUAUGGAGGAACACCAGUGGCGAAGGCGACUUUCUGGUCUGUAACUGACGCUGAUGUGCGAAAGCGUGGGGAUCAAACAGGAUUAGAUACCCUGGUAGUCCACGCCGUAAACGAUGAGUGCUAAGUGUUAGGGGGUUUCCGCCCCUUAGUGCUGCAGCUAACGCAUUAAGCACUCCGCCUGGGGAGUACGACCGCAAGGUUGAAACUCAAAGGAAUUGACGGGGACCCGCACAAGCGGUGGGGCAUGUGGUUUAAUUCGAAGCAACGCGAAGAACCUUACCAAAUCUUGACAUCCUUUGACAACUCUAGAGAUAGAGCCUUCCCCUUCGGGGGACAAAGUGACAGGUGGUGCAUGGUUGUCGUCAGCUCGUGUCGUGAGAUGUUGGGUUAAGUCCCGCAACGAGCGCAACCCUUAAGCUUAGUUGCCAUCAUUAAGUUGGGCACUCUAAGUUGACUGCCGGUGACAAACCGGAGGAAGGUGGGGAUGACGUCAAAUCAUCAUGCCCCUUAUGAUUUGGGCUACACACGUGCUACAAUGGACAAUACAAAGGGCAGCGAAACCGCGAGGUCGAGCAAAUCCCAUAAAGUUGUUCUCAGUUCGGAUUGUAGUCUGCAACUCGACUACAUGAAGCUGGAAUCGCUAGUAAUCGUAGAUCAGCAUGCUACGGUGAAUACGUUCCCGGGUCU